rnacentral:lncRNA from 1 species
AUGUUAGUCAUCCUAGUCCGGAAAUCAUGGAGAAUUGGUGAUAGAUACCUUGAAGGACUCUGGGAAGAAGGUGUGUGGCCCAGAACAGAUGCUGCCCCAGAUGUGGAAAAUGCAGAUGUUUGCCAGCUUCCGGAUAACUCCAAAUUCGUAACUGCACACAGCAUUCUACAGAUCUCUCAGUUUGAUUUUUUAGGGGAAAAAAAACCCUCCCCUCCCAAAAAAUGUGGAAUGUCUAAGAAGUCAAAUCUUCCUAAAUACAUGGUUUUCACACAUAACACCAUCUUGACAACAUCUGGACUUCACAGAAACCACAGGGUGCCUUUCCAGUGGAGCUAA